GAUGAACGCUAGCGGCAGGCUUAACACAUGCAAGUCGAGGGGCAGCACAGGUAGCAAUACUGGGUGGCGACCGGCAAACGGGUGCGGAACACGUACACAAUCUACCUUUAUCUGGGGGAUAGCCCGAAGAAAUUCGGAUUAACACCCCAUAAAAUAACAGAGUGGCAUCACUUAAUUAUUAAAACUCCGGUGGAUAGAGAUGAGUGUGCGUCCCAUUAGCUAGUUGGUAGGGUAACGGCCUACCAAGGCGACGAUGGGUAGCUGGUGUGAGAGCACGACCAACCAAGCGGGCACUGAGACACGGGCCCGACUCCUAGGGGAGGCGGCAGUGAGGAAUAUUGGUCAAUGGACGCAAGUCUGAACCAGCCAGGCCGCGUGAAGGAUGAAGGCCUUCUGGGUUGUAAACUUCUUUUAUUGGGGAAGAAAAUUAUGGUUUCUACUAUAACCGACGGUACCCAAGGAAUCAGCACCGGCUAACUCCGUGCCAGCAGCCGCCGUAACAC
rnacentral:rRNA from 1 species